rnacentral:lncRNA from 1 species
UUUAAGAUGCCUUAUGCUUAUGCGAGACCUAUGUCUUUAGUAGUGGUCGAUCCACCCACUGUUCAUAUUAAAGGCAUAGAGGAGUUGCAAUAAGCUUUAGAUAGGAUGAAGCAAGAGAAGGAUGUUUGGGAAGACAAGUUUCACGCUUCAAACCUCGAGAAGAUAGAAUUGCAGAAGUUGUUGAAGGAAAAAUAUGUUUUAAUAGAGUUGCUUGAGCAACGUGCUAUGAAGAGGUCAAG